rnacentral:rRNA from 1 species
AUUGAACGCUGGCGGCAUGCUUUACACAUGCAAGUCGAACGGCAGCACGGACUUCGGUCUGGUGGCGAGUGGCGAACGGGUGAGUAAUACAUCGGAACGUGCCCAGUUGUGGGGGAUAACUACUCGAAAGAGUAGCUAAUACCGCAUGAGAACUGAGGUUGAAAGCAGGGGAUCGUAAGACCUUGCGCAACUGGAGCGGCCGAUGGCAGAUUAGGUAGUUGGUGGGAUAAAAGCUUACCAAGCCGACGAUCUGUAGCUGGUCUGAGAGGACGACCAGCCACACUGGGACUGAGACACGGCCCAGACUCCUGCGGGAGGCAGCAGUGGGGAAUUUUGGACAAUGGGCGAAAGCAUAAUCCAGCAAUGCCGCGUGCAGGAUGAAGGCAUUCGGGUUGUAAACUGCUUUUGUACGGAACGAAAAGCUUCGGGCUAAUACCCUGGAGUCAUGACGGUACCGUAAGAAUAAGCACCGGCUAACUACGUGCCAGCAGCCGCUGUAAUAC